UGAAAAUCAAAUAUGUUGAAU
rnacentral:piRNA from 1 species